rnacentral:rRNA from 1 species
GGGAAUUUUCCGCAAUGGGCGCAAGCCUGACGGAGCAAGACCGCGUGCGGGAGGACGGCCUAUUGGUUGUAAACCGCUUUUGAUAGGGAAGAAGCUCUGACGGUACCUAUCGAAUCAGCAUCGGCUAACUCCGUGCCAGCAGCCGCGGUAAUACGGAGGAUGCAAGCGUUAUCCGGAAUUAUUGGGCGUAAAGCGUCCGUAGGUGGUUGUUCAAGUCUGCUGUUAAAGCGUGCGGCUUAACCGCAUACCAGCAGUGGAAACUGGGCGACUAGAGUGCGGUAGGGGUCAGGGGAAUUCCCAGUGUAGCGUGUGUAAUCAAUGGGUUUAGAUACCCCAGUAGUCAUGGAAAUGUCCGGCAUCGGAUAGAUACCCAGUAGUCAUGGACUUACC